GAUUCACCUCUGUGUUCCCCCAGGACUGGGAUUCCUCGGUGGUGAAAGCUGUCAGGCUGAAGAGGAGGGAGAAGAGGCGCUCCUCCAGGCAGUUCACUGAAGGCCCACCAGGCCCUCAGAAGAAAUCCAGAUCCAUCAGCAGCACAGCAGACCAGGCCAACGAAUCCAUAGUUGCAAAGACAACUGUGACGGUGCCCAACGAUGGAGGCCCCAUCGAGGCCGUUUCCACCAUCCAGACCCUGCCCUUCCCUCGCAGGAGCCGCAGGAAGAGCGGUCCUCUGCAGGCCUGGAACAGCGAGUCCAGCGUGGGCA